rnacentral:lncRNA from 1 species
GGUGUGACCUUUUCAAUACAAAUCUUGACCUAUAUGUAAGGAGCAUUUCGUAAAACCAUGAUGUGGAGCUAAAUACAUAUAUGCUUUUUGGCCAUGGAUCAAGCUUAGUGGACAAUCUGGAGAAAUGGUUAAUUGUGACGUGCCUGCUUCAUGCAUUAUGCCUCUCUUUGCUGCCAAUGCUAGUCUAACUUCAAUUGUGUAUCAACAGUUUUUUUGGUGACGGUUUAACAGAAUAAUUUUUCUCUGCUCCUCUUUCUUCUAUAUGAAUGAUAGUGAUUAUUGCUGUGGAUAUUACUCUGUAGCCCUCAUUUUUACCUUCUUUUGUGGCUUUAUCAUUGGGAUGCACAAAUGUUGUGGGAAGGCUUUGAUUCUCGUGUCUUAAUUAAAUUUUGAGCCCGUAUGGAUUCACACGAAUCAAAAUACACAAAGCUAUGAGCAUAUGCAGUGAUCUUUUGAUGUUGCCUGGUUAUGGCUAAUGAUUGAUGUUAUGCAGAAUCCUUUUGUCAGACUGCGCCCUUCACCCCAUCAGUGCCUUUCCCACUCCGUCUUGAUGAUUGAUGUUAUGAAGGACUUGGUGCAGCUACUAGCUUCAAGAUAGAAAAUAUUUCUAGGUCCUUGUGAUACUAGAAGUUGUAAUCGAAAAUAAAUUAUUUAUAUUUUGAAUAAAAUGUAUGUCAAUUAGAUCUGUGCAUAUGAUCGAAUUGGUGAGUUGACAAAUAUUUUAUAAUUUUUGUUUAAUCGAGAUAUAGUAAGACAAAAUGAUUGAAUUAUAUUGUAGCCAAAGCUGACAUGUUUAUUAUGUUCUUAAAACAUUUACACUAUUUGGAUAACCAUGACAUAUUGUUAGAUGUCAAUCAUGGUUAAGAUUAAUUGGGACAAUUAAGUCUUUUGGAAGUACUAAUGUGUUAGUACAAGUUUUACUACUUGUUAGUACAAGUCUUACUACCAGCUUAAUGAUGAACCAGGAUGUCACACACCAUAAACAAUUAGGAUGACGUGGAACAAGAAAGAAAUAAUGUUGCAGAUGUGUUUGCAAUUACUACAAUCGAAUUGAGUUGACUUGAUUUAAUUUAAUUUGUAUUAUAGUCACAAGCCUAUUUGCAUAUAAUGCACACGCAUGCCCAAAGUAAAUAUAUGUUAAUGUAUUCCAAAUACACAUAUAAAUAUUAUGUCAUUUUUAUUUUUUUAAAGGGGAUUGAAUAUUCAUUUAAUUAAUUUAUUAAUCAAUGUGCAAAUGGUCAUCAAUUGUUGCGGACCAUUUGCGACGCACAUCAUAUGUGCAUAUUUUAAUAAUGAUAAUUAAAAUAAAAUAAAAUAAAAUAGUAAAGCAUCGUGCAUGAAUGGUCAGCAACCUUCGUGCAUGAAUGGUGAUUCGAGAAGUUUUUUUCUUUUUAAAUGCUGCAUAACGGAGGGCAUAUAAAACGGUUGCUAAAAGGAGAGAAACGUGUGUGUUUUGUCUCUUCGUUAUACGAGAAAGAAAAUGGAUUCUCUCAUUUGGGCCAUGGCUAAAAACAUCAAGGAUACGGAGAUUGUCUCCAUGAGAUUGCUAGCAUGAUCAUAGUGGUGAUUAUUCGAAAGUUCUAUCUUCUAUUCGACGUUGGUGGUGUGUUUGAACUAGAGGUCCGACGUUUGUGGACUCGAAUUGAAGAAGAUCCGAACCAAUUCAUUUAAAGCGCGCUCGAGAGGUAAUUCGUUUAACUCCCUUUUAUAUUCAGAUUUUUGAUUAAAAUGUACGAACAACACAUUCGGAGAAUCAUGCAUAAAAUACAUCAUAUUUGUUUUCGCUGUGCUUUUUUGUUAAUUUUACCUAUAUAUGAUUCAUCAAACCCUAACAGAUCAGACAUGGGUUGAGGAAAUCAAAUCAAAAAUUUGUAGUGAUUUUGAGGUCUCUGAAGAGGUUAUGAUAGUUUGACGUCUGUCGUAAAAAAACUCAAAUCAUACAUGUGAGAUGUCUAUUGCAAAAAAAACGCAGAUCAUAUGUGCUCGAUGUCCGGCUUCAAAGUUAUGAAACUGAGUUCACUAAGGCUUACCUUGGACCACCGAAAUCUGCUGGCAUCUCCAUUAACCUUCCGACGAUCCCUUCCUGGAGAGGUGGAGAAGGAGAUGAAAUGUGAGAUUAAUGGUUUCGCUCGGGUGCUCGAGGAAACAGAGCAGGAAUUUUUAUAUAUAUAUGACGAGGUGGAGCGAUGAGGAAAAUCGGCAGCGUGCAGUCCUUAUGCAAGCAGAGACCUCAGCUCAUAAACAGUGAAAAACUGAAAAGGUCGAUUUUCUCCUUGAUCAGCCGAACAAGUCAAUCCGCCUUUUGGCGCCCAAAAGCGAAAGAUUGGUUAAGUACCCUCGUCGGAGCACCAUUCCAAUCUCACCCCAUUAUUUCUUCUCUAUUUUUCUUCCUUUUUUCCCCUUCUUUUUGUUAAUGCAUCCAGAUUUCUAUACCCCCGUAUUUUAAUGACAUAGGUAUAGGCACACAAUGGACCUAGAGGUAUUCCACCUGAAGGUAGUCAUAUUUGAAAGAGGUUGACAAAUAACAUUUAUAAAAGAAAAUCAUAGAAAAUCUCAAACUGUCAUCACUAUGAUAUAUUUAUUUUGAAUCUCUUUUUAUGUGCCAUAAAAAAUCUUAAAUCAUGUUGUGAUACAUUUAUCUCAAAUUUUACUUACGUCACAUAUUUACCUUUCAUCACAAUAAAUGAUUUUUCAAUUAAAAUAACGUCGUUUUUAUUUCAUUUGAAUUACGUGGGUAUUAUGUGAAUAUUGUUUACUUUCUGACAUUCACAUAUGCAUAUUUAUAAUGGUUACCAUUGAUAAAAUUUUGAUGGAAGGUAAAUAUAUCAUAUCGUUACAAAUUUUGGAUUCUUGAUAUCACAAUUUUUUUUUUUUUUGGGUAAUUGUGUUACAGUAGACAUAGUUCAGAGUUUUUUUUUUUUUUUUGGUGGCUUUUGCCUUUUUUUAUUUGCCAAACCUUUUUUAUUUCUUCCUUUUGGUAAGAGAAACUCAUAUUACUUGCAAUAAAUAUUUGUAUGAGACAUGCAGUCAAAAGACGAAUCUGUAUUAUCAAUAAAAUGUAGUGGCACAUUCCUUGCAUGGAUAGUCAAUGAGGCCACUUUUUGCCGUACCGACUUUUUUUUUUGGCUCAGUUAGGGUGCGUUUGAUAGCAUUUUUAUUCAAAAAUAGUUUUUUCAAUUUAUAUUUCUUGGACAAGUUUCUAAGCAGAAGAAUUCGUUUGAUAAUUGUAUAGAAUUUCCACUCCUGGAAAAGAAAAAAAAUAUAAAUGUGUUUUGUACAACCCAAAUUUUUUUUAUUCACAUUUUAUUUUAUUUUAGAUUUUAUUGCGUUUUAACUAUAAAAAUGUUAGUGGAGAAUUAAUAUUUCAUGUUUGGAUAAAUUUGGAUUUUGUAAGGAUUUAAUUGAUCAAGAAAUUCUAAGAUGACCUUAGAAAAUCCAAUGUAAGAAUUAUUCAAAGAUGGAUGCCUUGGAAAUGUCAAUAAAGAGUCCCACUUAUUUAUAACUCGCAAGAAAUCUAUGCACAUUACAAUAAAUAAUUGCAUAUUUGAGCUUUUCUAGCUACAAGAAAAAGAGCAAACGGGUCUAAUCUCUCCAUUCUUUGUUUAUACUUUCUUGAAAUUUGGAGGAAGAGGGAGUUGGGUGUACAUCAUUGCUAGAACAGCAUUAUAGAUAAGAGAAUCCAAAGGAAGAGGGAGAUUGUCUGUCUUGUAAUGCUUGUGCUGAAUCUUGUAAGUCUAUUCCAAGCAGGAUUUGGCUGCAUAUUCUAACUCUAGUUUUAACUUUUAAGCAGCAUCUGAUCUACUGAAUUGCCGCGCGGUUGGUAGUGCAACUCCAUUUGGUAUCAAAUGUUUCUUGCUCCUUGGCUCAUCACACGGACAUUGCAAAUGAUGCUAGUUUUUGAGGUCUCAUCCGAUUGGAGCUACAAGUCGUUCAUUUGACUCCCUUCCUGGGCAUGAAUUUCAACUAAAAUCGCUUGUAAUAUUAGAAGCACCAUAUGAUAAAAUGGAACAAUAGGUUAGUUCUACCCAACCGUGGCACGAGCAUCAUCGACCAAGAUGGGUUCGAAUUUACUAGUAAUUAAUUGGAUCUUUAAUUAGAUAAUAUAAUAAUUGGGUUUAAAUAUACUAGUAAUUAACUCGAUCUUUGAUUAGAUAACAUAAGAAUUUAUAUCCAUCGAGAUAUUGCCUUAUGCACUUUCUUUUUCAUUCAAUUGUAUAUAGAUUGAGUUGGGGACUUAAUGAAGUUUUUUGGGAUAAUGAUAUAAAUAUUUUUUAAACUUUGGCUCAAUUUAUAAUUUGAUACCUGAACUUUUAAUAUAUUAACUUUAGCUCAAUGUGUAAUAUGGUCCGUAAACUUUUAAUUUAUUUAAUAUAAUUCUUUUAAAUUUUGAUAUAUAAUGUUAUCUUUUCAUUAUAUAUUUUUUUUGUGACCCAGGGAACUCUGUACAGUCGGCAGCCGGCGAGGAAACCCUAGGGUGACGCCAAGAAAAUCACCACCCUGACGCCACGGGUAAGUCCACAAAUGAUGACGUUGGGAUUUGAACUUGUCCCCAUCGUGAGGAGGACAACUCGAAAGGUGGUUAUCUUUCCAUUAAUUCAUAAUUAGAGAUUACAUUAAAUAUUUUCAUACAGUUGUAGAACUGUAUUAAACUGCUGGAUAGAGACAUGGUUGAUCAUGGCUUAGGUCAACAUUAGUGAUUGAUUCCUAAGGUUGCUCGAUGUCUGUUCUGCUGCCUAGGGUAAUACAACCUAGGUGGCCGGCCAUUCUACUUUAUUAUUUUUUUUAUAAUUUUAAUUUUUUUAAUUUUUUUUAAUUUUUUUAUUUUUUAUUUUUUAUUUUUUUGGUAAAGUUAAUUUUUUUUAUUGUAAUAAGUAUUUUUGCAAGUUUUUUUACCAACAAUCACUGGGUUCGAAGCUCCACUAAAGGCCUUUACCAACACUGUGUGCUUUGCAUAAAAAUGCUAUUUUCCACGAAAAGCUUCAUCGCAGCAAAUUUCAUUUUCUACGCUCUACUCAUAUAAAUCGACGGGAACGCCAUUUCUCCUUUUGAAACCGCGGGGGGUGUUCGCGGCGUCUUUCAGGCGAAAUCGCGAUCUGGGAAGGGAGAUGCAGUUCUUCGGAGGCUCCGACGUCAGCCCGUCGCCGCCGGCGCCGACGGCGGGGGGGCACAACGCGAACGUGAUGUACAUGUUCAACCGGAACGGGGUGUGCCUGUUCUACCGGGAGUGGAACCGGCCCCUCCGGACCCUGAAUCCGCAGCAGGACCACAAGCUCAUGUUCGGCCUCCUCUUCUCCCUCAAAUCCCUCACCGCCAAGAUGGACCCCACCGGGUAUGUCCCUUCUCUCCCGAUCUUUCCUCGAAUUCGUGGGGGAGUUGAAUGAAUUCCCGAGUGCGGUUGGCCAAUCGCGCGAGGCAUCGGAAAUGGCGGGUCUUGAUCUGUCUGAGUGUAGAAUUUUGCAUCUUUUUUGGGUUGUCUUGGGAAUGUAUAAGCCGUUCGGUUGCUUGAUGAUCUGCUUUGACUUCGAUUCUUUUACGUAAUUGGUCUCUGAACACUCUCCCAAAUGGUUAAUUGCGAUUGAAUGUCGCCAAAAUUGCUGAAAUAAGUGAUCUUUUGAAUCAUGCGUAUUCAAUUCAGGCACCAUUUAAUGGCAAUCUGGCUUUUUAAUUUGGUAAUUUACUUGUUCUUUCGCUGAAUUGCUGUUGAUCCUCAGGAAUGUUCAGCGAAUCUUUGAUUGAAAGGACUUCAAAAAUUUUUCAAGUUGAGUUUGAGCUCAAAGGAAGAGAAAAAUCUAACAGAAGUCUAACCUGCCUGUACAAAUUUUAGACUACGUGAAAUUUGUGUUUCUGUGGUUUAUGCUCAUUUACAGGCUCCCUCAUAUGUGCAAACGUAUUACAAACACAUAAAACAUGACUACUCAAUAACUCAGCGGUUGCACAAGUUAAGCGCUGCAAACCUCGAAACUCAACUAGACUUAAUAUUCGAGUAAGUCGCUUAGCCGAGCUCAAGUAGCUCGUGAGUAGGAGGAAUUUCUUCUACUGCGAGCUCAUAGCCAAGUGCCAAGUAUGCAGGAGAAGAUAUAGGAGGACCGGAUGUUCAGCAAUUAACGUGCACACUCUCUGUUUUUUCCUCUUGCAGUGCAGACAAAAGAAAUCUUGGGGUGCCGCAGUUACCAGGCCAGGGUUGUUCAUUUCACAGUUUCCGCACUAACACAUACAAACUUAGUUUCAUGGAAAGUCCUUCUGGUAUAAAGGUUAGAUUUAUUAAUUCUGCAGUCUUUGGAGUAUUUUUCUACCUCAGAUGUUGCUUAUAAUGAGCUUGCGCUAAAAAAAUUCAAUAAUCUUGACAAAUUCGCAAGACCUGUUGAAACUGAGCAUUGUUAAGGAACCGACACCUUUAUCGAUGUAUCUAAAGGCACCACACAAUCAGAAGGUGUUUGUGCUUCCUUCAUCGCAUAAUAAAAGCGAGAAAUGGUUUGCUCCUGUUAACUUCUAUUAUCUGUGCAUUGACUACUUAUUAUUUGUGCUUGACAAUGCCAAAUGAAUUUGUUGAAAAUCACAUUGCCAUAUGUUAAGGAUUUGCCUUAUGCUUCUGUUUCAGCAAAUAUAUUAAUGCCAAGGCAUUUUUGGAUCAGAUGUUUGCCCACCAGUGCACUCCUCUUUAGAAGACUCUUACUAACCAUCAAUCUGCCUUCAUUUUUUUUUUAUUUUUUUUUCCUUCUUAUGCCUCAUGCCUUUGCAGAUAAUCUUGGUUACGCAUCCUAGGACUGGUGAUCUACGGGAAGCUUUGAAGUAUAUAUACAGUCUAUAUGUUGAAUAUGUGGCUAAAAACCCUCUCUAUGAUCCAGGAACUCCUAUCAGGUGACUGAUGAACUUUUGUUGGUUUAAACUAGUUGAUUAGAUGAUGCGCAUCAAUGCUGAUGAUCUAUUAUUUAAAUAGUGUUCUAUAGGGGACCAAAAUAGUCAGAUUGUCUACUAGAAAUAUCUGUCUGUUAAAAUCCUUAAUGAUACUUUCUUGUCAUUUUGGAUAAUAACCCUGCACUGUCCCAAUGCUUUUGAUACGGGUCAUCAGUUUCGGCACCUAGCUUGCAUCUUUUUGAUACUAGUACUUCUGUGGACAUAUCAUUUGGAAUUUGGGAUAAACACAUUUCAUGGUGACCAUUGCUUUUCUUUCUGUGAGUUAUACUUGCAUAGUGGCAGAAGCUAUUAUUUUCUCUUCUUACACCUUUUCUUUUCCUUUUUGAAGGUGUGACCUUUUCAAUACAAAUCUUGACCUAUAUGUAAGGAGCAUUUCGUAAAACCAUGAUGUGGAGCUAAAUACAUAUAUGCUUCUUGGCCAUGGAUCAAGCUUGGUGGACAAUCUGGAGAAAUGGUUAAUUGUGACGUGCCUGCUUCAUGCAUUAUGUGCCUCUCUUUGAUGCCAGUGCUAGCCCAACUCCAAUUGUGUAUUAACAGUUUUUUCGGUGACGGAUUAACAGAAGAAUUUUUCUCUGCUCCUCUUUCUUCUUUAUGAAU